rnacentral:misc_RNA from 1 species
GACUCACUUUCUCUUGUCAAUAAUUUACAUUAGCACUGUGUUUUUAGCCCUUGCAUACUGACUCAGGCGAAAGCUUAAGUGAGGCAAGCUGAUAUGAUAAUUAAGAUAAGCUUGUUGUAGACCCUGAGGUGAAUCUUCCUGGUCAAGUUGUGUAAUAGUAAUAGCAGAGUUCCUCCAUGGCCAGGGAUAGUGAAGGGGGGGAAACUCUAAUUGCCCCAAUU